rnacentral:rRNA from 1 species
GGAUGAACGCUGGCGGCGUGCCUAAUACAUGCAAGUCGAGCGAACAGACGAGGAGCUUGCUCCUCUGACGUUAGCGGCGGACGGGUGAGUAACACGUGGAUAACCUACCUAUAAGACUGGGAUAACUUCGGGAAACCGGAGCUAAUACCGGAUAAUAUAUUGAACCGCAUGGUUCAAUAGUGAAAGACGGUUUUGCUGUCACUUAUAGAUGGAUCCGCGCCGCAUUAGCUAGUUGGUAAGGUAACGGCUUACCAAGGCAACGAUGCGUAGCCGACCUGAGAGGGUGAUCGGCGACACUGGAACUGAGACACGGUCCAGACUCCUACGGGAGGCAGCAGUAGGGAAUCGUCCGCAAUGGGCGAAAGCCUGACGGAGCAACGCCGCGUGAGUGAUGAAGGUCUUCGGAUCGUAAAACUCUGUUAUUAGGGAAGAACAAAUGUGUAAGUAACUAUGCACGUCUUGACGGUACCUAAUCAGAAAGCCACGGCUAACUACGUG